GCUUGUGGGCGUGCUGGCAGCAUGUUCGAUUGUGCGUCAAGAAUUCAGCAUAGCAAGUUUGUAUGAAGGUCUAGUUAGUAAUUAGUACAUAGUUCAAUAGUAAUAUCCUCGAAAACGCUCUGGUGACAAACAAACUUUGCUGCCCUGUUUCCAAUUGUCCACAUGGCUGGGAGAACCUAUUCAAAUACCUUGUAACUGGAGAUUCUUUCAAAAUGAGUGCCUACAGUUAAGGUGUAGGGCACUGCAAGGUUGGGUGACCAGGAGGGCCAUCUGGUACUGCCUCCUGGAGGAAUUCAAGUGUGUGAAGGCUACCUGUGUCCUGCAUAACUUCAUGAGGAUGGACACGAGGACCAGGAGGGGAUCUGCAGCUGCUCUGCAGGAUGUUUCAAGGAUGGGGUCCAACAAUGCAGCAAGAGGCAAUCCUUGUGCGGGAGAUCUUCACCUCCUACUUCUUCGAAGAGGGUGCUGUUCCCUGGCAAUACCAUAGACUACACGAUGCACAAAGGCUCUUUUAAGAGUCAUUCACAUUGCAAUAGGAAUAUUCUUCCGUUUACUAUUCUUCCAUGUCAACUGCAGUUAUUCAAUUCCCAGUUUCUCUCCCUUUGAUUUCUACUUCUCAGGUGAGGGUGCUGUUAAGGUAAGGGUGUGAUGUCUGUACAAAAACAGGCUAUUUUAAAUCACCCAUAUUGAAAGAAUGUAGAACAAUUAGACACCCUAUAACCCACACACUCGUAUCAAUCUGAUUAAUGGAUUGUGUUGUGCAGUAAGCAGGCUCAGGUGUAUAACUGUGGCUCCUUGCACCUUCAAAAAUAGGCAAGAGGGCCAAUCAUGGAGAAUAGUAAGACACUUCAUUAUUUCUAUAACUACGCUAUAUUGUUCAUGUUUUUCAGCAAAAGUACUCUGCAGCCACUUAGUGUGGUGUGGACACCAGGUUAUAUCAGCUGUGUCGGUGAAUCCCUCCUUCAUCUGAACUGGCUACAUGGAGGGCACAGCAUGAUCAGAGAUGAGGUCACUUAGUCAGGUCAACAGGAAGUAUUAUUAAAGAGAUGCUUUACAUUGAAAUACAGAUAUAGAUGCAGUAGUCCCAGAGUUAAUGAUCCAAGGUCAGUUUUGCAUUUCACCUCCUGAUUAUUAUGACUAACAAUGUUAGAAUAAAAAAUUAAAACACAAGGCUUAAACAUGCUAUCUGUCUCUAGUCUGCAGAUAUGUUUUGACGUGGGAGAGGAUGCCAAACCCCAGUCCCAUCAUUGCCACCUCACCCGCUUUUAAGAUAACCUUCGGACUAGACACUACUAUGUAAUUACUACUAUGUAAUUGUGAUGAACUGAGAGAAUAUUUGGGUUGCACUGUGAUUCAUUAAUCAUAUGCUGCCUUCCCUUUUUAUAAUGCACAACAGAUGUGCAUUGAAGUACAGUUUGAACUUGUAUUUAUAAUAUGACAAUUAUAUUUAUAAUGCAUGUAUUUAUAACACUUGGAUAAUGAACUUCUUUCAAUAAAGCGUUUCACAUUC